UACGUAGGGUGCAAGCGUUGUCCGGAAUUAUUGGGCGUAAAGAGCUCGUAGGCGGUUUGUCGCGUCUGCUGUGAAAACUCGGGGCUUAACUCCGGGCUUGCAGUGGGUACGGGCAGACUAGAGUGCGGUAGGGGAGACUGGAAUUCCUGGUGUAGCGGUGGAAUGCGCAGAUAUCAGGAGGAACACCGGUGGCGAAGGCGGGUCUCUGGGCCAUUACUGACGCUGAGGAGCGAAAGCGUGGGGAGCGAACAGG
rnacentral:rRNA from 1 species